AGAUGCGAGGGCAAUCUGUCUGUGACAUCCAUUGAUUGGCAGGGUUGAUUCUGUGGAUCUAGCUGUUUAGGCAGGUGUCCCCUUCUUCCCUCACUGCUCUAUGUGCAUCCAUCCCGAAGCUAAAUACUCAGUUGAAGAGGACGAUCUUCCCCAACAGAGGAGGUCUGUUCUUCAGUCAAAGGGUAUAGGAGUAGCUGUGCUCUCCAGCUAGCCUUCCCAACAAGCUCUCAAAGCCUAUUUAAAAUUGUAUAAGAUUCAACAAUUGGAGAAGACUUACUGAUCUUCCUCUGGAUAUCUGAAGCAAUUA
rnacentral:snRNA from 1 species